UACGGGAGGCAGCAGGGGGGAAUAUUGCACAAUGGGCGCAAGCCUGAUGCAGCCAUGCCGCGUGUAUGAAGAAGGCCUUCGGGUUGUAAAGUACUUUCAGUCGUGAGGAAGGUGUUAAGGUUAAUAACCUUAGCAAUUGACGUUAGCGACAGAAGAAGCACCGGCUAACUCCGUGCCAGCAGCCGCGGUAAUACGGAGGGUGCGAGCGUUAAUCGGAAUUACUGGGCGUAAAGGGCACGCAGGCGGUUAAUUAAGUUGGAUGUGAAAUCCCCGGGCUUAACCUGGGAAUGGCAUUCAAGACUGGUUAGCUAGAGUCUUGUAGAGGGGGGUAGAAUUCCAUGUGUAGCGGUGAAAUGCGUAGAGAUGUGGAGGAAUACCGGUGGCGAAGGCGGCCCCCUGGACAAAGACUGACGCUCAUGUGCGAAAGCGUGGGGAGCAAACAGGGAUUAGAUACC
rnacentral:rRNA from 1 species